GAUGAACGCUAGCGGCGUGCCUAACACAUGCAAGUCGAACGUGAGAGGGUACUUGUAUCCUUGAAAGUGGCGGACGGGUGAGUAAGACGUAGGUGACCUGCCUCGAAGUGGGGAUAACCAUUGGAAACGAUGGCUAAUACCGCAUAAGCUGGUGACGAUGGGAAUUGUUAUCAGGAAAGCUUUAGUGCUUUGAGAGGGGCCUACGGCCGAUUAGCUAGUUGGUGAGGUAAAGGCUCACCAAGGCGAUGAUCGGUAGCUGGUCUGAGAGGACGAUCAGCCACACGGGAACUGAGACACGGGUCCCGACUCCUACGGGGGGGCAGCAGUGAGGAAUAUUCGGCAAUGGGGGCAACCCUGACCGAGCAACGCCGCGUGGAGGAUGACGGUUUUCGGAUGUAAACUCCUUUUCUCAGGGAAGAGCGAGGACGGUACCUGAGGAAUAAGUCACGGCUAACUACGUGCCAGCAGCCGCGGUAAGGCACGACUGU
rnacentral:rRNA from 1 species